ACUAAACUUUUUUCUCUUUCAUCUUUUCACACGAAAGUUGUAUUGUAUUUCUGAUUGUGUGCACUGAACUUUUUUCCCCUUUCGUAUUUUCACACGGAAGUUCACGAACCGCCAUAAGGUUUUCCAUUCUUAUCUUCGCUUCUUAUCUGUUUUCAUUAUUGUGUUGCCGCCCAUCAUCUUUGGAGAUUCUUCUGUUCCAUUUCUUGCCGACGUUCGACCGUUCUUUCCCACCUACGCCAUCGCUUAUACUUAUGUCGGUACAAUAAAUCUCUUCCACCAUCUUCUAUUCCUGUUCCUCGAUUAGGGCUUCUCUCCACCUUGAUCCUCCGUUGCUUCUAACUCUUGGGAGAUGUUUUUUUUUCCUGAACUGCUCAUGGAACUGCUUUGGUGAUCGCCGGAGAAUGAGGCGAUAACAAAUAACCGUCUGAUAUCCACAGCCGUAGCAAAAUCUCAAUCGAAGAAACUUAAGGGGCUUAUACAUAUUGUCGGACCUAUGGAGGGAAAAGCAGUCAGAUGUGAUGAGAGGGUUCGUCUUCAUCUAGCUUCUCCCUUUCGGUUCUUCCUUCUUCCAUGAAAAUAUAUUUUUUGUUUAAAAUUUAUGACAUCAGAUAAACGCCGCCUCUACACCAUGUAUCCUAAUCGAUUUGUGACUCACAUCUGACAACAUCAAAACACUUAUUCAAUUCAAUUCUAUCCUUUUUUAAUUCAAUUAUGCCUUCCUGUUUCGAGUCGGUGUUUCUUUCUUUUCGUCAUCCUUCAAAGUAAUCAUUUUUUUUUAAUUAGGAAACAUGGAUUCAUACUCCAAUGAUUAACCAAAUAAAAAGGGGAUUUGGACGGGAAACUUUUGGACUAUACUAUCUGUUAUAGUUGUUGGUAAAACUACAUCGUUUUGUAUUAGUGGGUCAUAAAAAAAGGGGGAAUCAUGGAUAGCAUGUCACUGGGCUUUGAGAUUGGCCAAUCUGGUCGUCGCUAUUACAGAGUAAAAAUAGAGGUAAAUUCAACGUUUAUACAUUAAAUUAAAACUAUAAACAUGGGUAUGGAUAAGAACAAGGAGUCGCGAACAUGGAACUUGAACGAUUUACAUGAGAUUGGAUGUUUGGAUUCCGUCCACCUGGCAGCCAAACAUGGUGUUUGGGUUAUGCAACUUGAUCUCAACCCAAUGGUUGUAGUGGCACUGUGGCAGUAUGGUAAAACUCUCACAAUCUCAACACAUACACACACACACACACACUAUCCACAAAAAAAAUGCAACUAGAUUAUUGUUACUUACAUUAUACUUUCCUUAUACUAUGUUAUAUAUUAUCUAAGGUCUGGUCUUAAAUGCAGGUCCGUGUUUACAAAGCUAUAAGCUAAAGUUACCAAAUUCCACGUACUGAUCAUUACAAACAGUUGAUUGUACUGAAUUUUUCUUCACCAAGAAAAAGAGUAUUUUAGACAAUAAGAACAUUGAAGAAGAAGUUGAAAAAGUAAAUCUUAAAAUUGAAGGUGAUCUUUCAUUCCAUUGCUACUCAAAAUUCCUUAUUUAGCUUACCAUAUAUGAAAUCUGUCUAAUAUGAAAAUGCAUAUUAACAUUUUCCUUACUUUUUUUUAUAUAACAUGUGACUCUAAGCAUCACAAAGUAGUAAAAUGUUGAUGUUACCCUUUUAUACUUAAGACAUAUUAUCAAUUUGUGACAAGGUAAAUUUGAAUUUUGAAAGUCAAAAUAGUACAUUCUUGACUCUUAAAAAAGAUACAAUGACUAUUUUCGACUUUUUAAAGCAUAUUUUAAUCGUUAGUCACUUUCACUGUAGCACAGGAUUGAUUUAGGGGAAAUUGGUCAUUUUAUAUGCUCUUUUUUCGUAUAUCAUGUCAAAUAAACUUACAACACGGAAGGAGCCUUUACAAGUAGGGGUACAAACUUAGAAAGAUGAACAUUGCAACUUAGGCAAAUAAGGAGGAAACGGAAAAGAAAGCGAUGAAGGGCACAUUUUGGCUGAGGAGGCGUCGAGAGUUGAGUUUGAGAAAUGCGUGGUUGCGUGGGAAGAUCACAACAGUAGAACACUCAUCCACUAUUAUUUGUUUAUCAAUGUUAUUUCAGAUUUUAAAUAUUUUUUAUAAACAUUAUUUAUGAUGUGUUCAGAUUUAUACACAAACAGAUUAAAAUUCAAGAAUGGGAAAGUCAUCACAAACCGAAACUUCAAGUAGAAAUUAGAAGAAUAGAGUAAUGCAAGUGAUGCUCUUGAUAAGCUGAUAUUCUUAAGUGUAACGGAUCCCUCAUUACUUGGAGAUGCUGAGACACUGGUAUUGGAAUGACCAAAGAAGAACUAAUAGACUGCCUUGGAACCAUUUCUAAAAAUAAGGAAGAGGCGACUAAUCCGUAAAUGGAAGCCUUUGGAUUAGCUAGUCAUCCAGUUUCUCUGAAAAAAUAGAACACCAGAAUCAAACAACUAUCAUUUUAAGAUUCCCAGAAGCUAGUGUAAGGUUUUUACCACCUCAGCAUUGCCAGGUCGACGCCUAGCUGUCACAAUAGGAAUUCGCUGGACAAACAAAAACAUUACAGGUCGACGCCUACUUUCGGUUUUAUUAUUAUUAUAGCAGUGAAAAUUGUUGGGAUUUGGAUGAGAUUGCUAUAAUUGGGUAAAUUUUCUUAAAAUAAACAACUAAAUACAAGUAUAUUUUCUUUAUCAACAUUGGGUAGAAACUAGAUAACAUAUUUACAAGAUUGUAAUUGUAAUACCUUUCCGGAUGCCUUUUCAAAAGCUGCUACCAUCUCCAACACAGAUGUGCCCUUACCCGUUCCUAAGUUGUAGACUUCACAGCCUAAAAAAAAGAUAAUGGUUUGAUUUAAUGUCAAACAGAACAAAAUUUCCAAAACUAAAAAAUGUCAUCUGCAAUCAGAAAGAGAUACACACCUAUAUUAGGGUCCGAGAGUAUCUUCAAAGCAGCAGUGUGUCCAUCUGCUAAAUUUACAACAUGGAUGUAACCAUGUACCUGAAAUUUGAGGGUAGAAAAGGUAAAUAUCAACAUCAUAAUUCCCAACAAACAGCAACAGGAGGAAAACUCAGUAGAACCUUAAAUAAGGGAAUUUCAAAUUCCAACAAACAGCAACAUAACACAAAAAAGAAACCAACCCAAAGUAUAGAUAGAUGCAGAAAGCAUAAAUAUUCACUGAAAUAGAAAUUAAAGAUCGAUUUAAGUAAAAGAAAAGAUGUCAUACCAUCUUGCAUUACAGUUUCCUCAUGUUAUCUAAGACGCAUCACAAGGGCUAAGUAAAAGAAAAGAUGUAAUACCAUCUUGCAUAACUGUUGAAAUUAACAUGAACAUUAGUUGCACAAAAAAUGUAUAUGAUGAUUAUGGCACACUAUGUAUAAUAUAAGGGCGUACUUUGAACACAUAGUUAUGUGUUUCUGCGAAUAUUGUAGUAAAAGCAAGAGAAAGCAGAAGGCUCAGAAGCAGGCUGGAUCGAGAUAUGGACAUCAUGGGGAUCUUGUGUUGAGGCUUUGAGCUUGUUUCUGAACACUUCUGAGUGAAGAAGUAUGAAGGUUAAUUUGUGUUUAGAUGACGAUGAGGGGUGGAUUUAUAUGCAGAGGAAGAUGAUAGAUAGGAAGAAGACUACCCAAUCUCAUAUUCUCCCCAAAUCACUCCAAACCCUAACCCCCCAAUUCACUAAUUCAAUAGUGGGAUUAAUUUUGUAUUUACGGGAAGAUAGAUAGGAAGAAGAUGAAUACGAAAGUAAAUAUGUACCGUUGAAUAUUUUUCUCCUUCUUCAGCCUUGACUUUUGAAAAUCUUCCACCUCUUCAUCCUCUUACCCUCUUCUCACACAGAAAAAGUGAGGACUCCAGAGUAGUCAACCAUGUUAUGUAAUUGCUUCACCAUUGGGCCCCACCGUAAGUUGCAGUAGGGCGUUGUCAACGUGAAGAGUUGCAGAUCCCCAAUCGCCGGUUCUAUGAAGGAUUUUGUGAGGUCCGCAUCCCUAGUUCUUUGAAGCGGGGUUUAAGAAUUAUAAGAAGAGAACGGAAGAAUGAGGUUUAGAUGAGAUCGUCGGUGAGGAAAAAGAACUGGUGAUAGAAACUAGGGUUUUUGUGGGAGACGGAGAAGCAAAAUAAGAAGUGAGCCUGAUUGUUUAGUCGCCGAUUUUAUUAUAUGGAGCAAGAAGAAUAUAGCGGCGGGGAAGAAGGAACGUGAAUGGCCAGUGGUUAUGUCUAGGGUUAGAGAGAGAGAGAGAGAGAGAGAGAGAAAAAAGGGAGAGAAUGGCUCUGUGCGAGAGGUAACGCGACCCAUAGGAUCAGAGUGAGAAGCGGGGUAUUCAAAAUUUUAGAAUUUCAGAUCCCUCUUUAAAAACGCGCGUUUAGUUAAAAAAAUAUAAAGCGACAUUUGUAGACGACACACACUUAAAAUAAGCGCCCUCCAUGUUUUUAAUUUUGUUUUGUUUGACACUAAUUGUACGGCACGCACAAAUGCGUGUCUUCUAUCCUUUAAAUUUUGGAAAACUGACAUCGAUUUUUAGGGCACGCACAAAUGCGUAUCCUCUAUUAGCACGUGUCAUUGAUUGCGCGUCGUAAAAGACUGUUUUUCUAGUAGUGCAAGGGAAUAAGGUCAAUUAAUGAAGUUAUAUGAUGAAUAUAAUUAUGAAUUAUGUCUUCACUGUGUCUUUAUUUGUUUUUGUGAGUGGGUUAAUCUUUAUCAUUUGGAAACCAUCUUUUAAUCCAUUGAUUGUUGUCUUGAAUUAAUCUCAUAGAGGUAGGAAUUUGAAUUUGUGAUUUCUCAUUUGUAUUUAUUAUCUUUUAUUAAUUGUGAUUAUAUUCAACGUGUAUUUGGUUGGCUUGUGAGUCAGGGAUGUAUAUGAAUACGACCCUUUUACCCUUUGACUCAUUUUACAGGUUUUGAAAGUUCUUCCAGCUUCUCCAUCAACCUAUUCUACUAAUCCAAAGUCCAAGCUGUUAACUCUACCUUCCCUCUGUAGGUCUUCAAUCUCAUUUGUUUUGGUUAUUCAGGUCCCCCCCCCCCCCCACCAACACACAUUAGGGGUGGAAUUGGUACGGUACCGAGUUUUUUUUUUCCAAACCAUGUACCGUACCAACUAUAGUUGAUAUCAAAUUUUAGCUAUCAGUACCGUACCAAGUGUACUUGGUACCAAUUAAUUUGGCUACCAACAAAUUUGGUUGGUACAUAUUGGUAUUUGGUAUAUACCAAAAGUUUUAACUAAUAUGUACUAUACGUGAAUAUAAGUUGAAUUUGUGGACAUUUGGUCGUUGCUUCACUCACUUUUGUUAGUAUUUUUUUUCGGAAACUGCUAAAAGGAUUAAAAUAGGUCCACCCCUAACAAGUUGCCAGAGGAAGAAAAUGGAAACAGUACAAUGAAUGAGAAGUUAGUAUUCCUUUUAUGUAUUAGUAUGAUGUGCUUUUGUAUCACCGAUCUCGUGCACAUCAAAAAAUAAAUAUUGAGAAAUUUGUCUAUCAAUGCGUAGUUUAGUAAUCCUAAGACUUGUUAGUUGUUAUUCUAGUUAAUACAUGAAGAUAUGAGAACUCAUAUUUCUUUGUGUGUAUAUAUAUAUAUAUAUAUAUAUAUAUAUAUAUAUAUAUAUAUAUAUAUAUAUAUAAAAGUUGGUUGGUACGGUACAACCGUGGUAUUCAAAAUUUCAUACCAUUACCAUACCAAGAUUACUUAAUUGGCAUGGUAUUACCAGCCAAAUAUAUUGGCAACCAAACAACUUGGCUACCGAUUUUAUUGGUUCGGUUGGUAACAUGUUGGUUGGUUCUCUGUGGUACAUAUUUGCCAGCCCUAACAAACAUACACACUUAAAAAUAUGUUUUGUUUUUUUUAGUAAUAUAAAAAUUGAGUAACUGGGAAAAGGAUUCCAAAAAAGCAUAAAAAAACCUUCUAAUUAUCUUUCUUUUGAUAUUGUAGGCAAGAAAUAAUACAAGGAUUGUGUCCUAUGGAUCUUUAGAUCUCUUUAGCAACAACUAUGGAAUAUUUCACAGUUUUGUGUCCAAACUUUGUAACCAUUUUAUAUAUUUGGUUGAAAUUAAACCGGAUGUUAUGUUAUGUUAUGUAGAUUCUCUAACUCACCAGUGAAAAAUGCAGGAAGCUCGGAAUAAGUAAGUGUAUUUCUCUAAAGUACUAAUAAUAUAAUUAUAAUAUUCCAUUUUGCAUCUAAUGGAAAAAAGACACAAAAUUUAUAAUAGAAAUGCAAAAUCUGGCAAUGCACAGUUUCCUACCGACAUUAACAAAUGGGUUUCCCAUGAAACAGGCCAUUUAAAGGUUGUGAAUGUUAGACACCACAAAGUUGGUGAUACUGAUGAACCUGCUAUCUAUAGGAUCAAUGAUGACCUGGUGAUCUUCUGCUAUAAAUAAACAAUAUGUAGCUAUGUAACCCUUAUGCAAGUAAUCUUUUGCUAUAAAUAUUAUCUUGGUAUGUAACUCUCCUUAUGUAAGAAAUCUGUUGCUAUAAAUAUUUUGUUAUGUUGGUAUGUAAGUCUUAUGCAAAUCCGUUGUGCAUUUUA